UACGUAGGGUGCAGGCGUUAAUCGGAAUUACUGGGCGUAAAGCGUGCGCAGGCGGUUUGCUAAGACAGGUGUGAAAUCCCCCGGGCUUAACCGGGGAACUGCGUCUGAUACUGGAUGGCUUGAAUCCGGGAGAGGGAUGCGGAAUUCCAGGUGUAGCGGUGAAAUGCGUAGAUAUCUGGAGGAAUACCGGUGGCGAAGGCGGCAUCCUGGACCGACAUUGACGCUGAGGAGCGAAAGCUAGGGGAGCAAACGGG
rnacentral:rRNA from 1 species